AUGUGUGUCUUGCUUGAUCAUUUUGAAUUUUUUGGUUUUUCCGUUAAGAAAUGUUCAGCUCAUCUCCGACGAGAUUCAGGUGCGUGGAACAUAGAGUGGUAUAUAGCGAGGAACGCUGCGCCGAAGGUGUUGAUGAAGUCCUUCUUUAGCACGCAUUUCCAACCAGCCUCGAUGAGGAUGUACGGUCCGAUCAAGGAGCUGCUGUCCGAUGAGAACCCGCCGUUGUAUAGAGAGACCCUUGUAGAGACUACAUCAAACAUUAAUACUCGACACCCCGGGAAAAUGAUCUUGUGUGGCCUCCCGCGACUAGGCGGGCGCUAG
rnacentral:rRNA from 1 species